GUUAGGGAACUCCUUCUACCAAUGCUGGUCCAGAGCUCUAUCCAGUGCACUACCUAGCUGCCUGCCUUGCUCAAAAUCAUACAAAUAGAAGGAAGUAUCAGAGAUAAGACUCAAUCCCAGGAUUUGCAGAAAUAACUUCAGUGAUUUGCCUUCUUGUUCCCCACUUGGCUGCAGAGUGACAUCCGGAAUAUCAUGUAAAGAUGCUGGCAAAGAUUACAUUUAUUGGAGUUUUGUCCUUCUAGAUUUCCAGGGGGAGGAUGGUAGUGACAGGAAGCUGCUGGGAACCUUCCUGGAGACUCACCUUGGUCCAGAUCUGCUCAUUCCUUCUCAUAGCCCUGAACAGACCUUAGCUCCACCAUCUGCCUUAGAACUUGCUAUUCCCAGACCGGGGAAGCCAAAAGUGCAAGACGUGGAGAGCCUGACUUGCCCAUUCUCAUAGUUCCAGGCCAUAACAUGCAGUAACUGAGUUGGUAAAAGGCUACCAUCAACCUUGUAAUAUCAGGCCAUGGCUUGAGGUCUCCCUCUGAUACUUCAGAACAAGGAAGAACACAGACAGCUUCUGCCCGUCAGAACAAGCUGGGAUGGAAAAUAAACUCUGUAAUGACCAAAGGGAAGAAUUUCAAGGGGGCAAAUUAAGUCAACUAGUCAGAACACUAGAAUUAUGUUCAUCUUGUCUCUUGAUCUGGUAAUGUAUGUAUAAAACCGAAUAUCCACCUCUGUGCAUGGCAUCCCACCUCUA